AACGUAGGACGCAAGCGUUAUCCGGAGUUACUGGGCGUAAAGAGCGUGUAGGCGGCCCACCAAGUCAGGCGUGAAAGCGCCCGGCUCAACCGGGCGAGGCCGUUUGAGACUGGCGGGCUGGAGUGCGGUAGGGGAGCAUGGAAUUCCGGGUGUAGUGGUGAAAUGCGCAGAGAUCCGGAGGAACACCAGUGGCGAAGGCGAUGCUCUAGGCCGCGACUGACGCUGAGACGCGAAAGCAUGGGGAGCGAACGGG
rnacentral:rRNA from 1 species